GUUCUUUAGUAGUUCCUAAGGAUGAUGAGUGGGUGCUCGUGCAUCUCUGUGACCUGCGCCUCCCUCAAACUUUUUAUGACUUGAGCACACGACCCAUCUGACA